rnacentral:rRNA from 1 species
UACGUAGGUGGCGAGCGUUGUCCGGAUUUAUUGGGUUUAAAGGGUGCGUAGGCGGUUCUUUAAGUCAGUGCUGAAAUACUCUAGCUUAACUAGAGGGGUGGCAUUGAUACUGAGGAACUUGAGUGGAGUCGAGGUAGGCGGAAUUGACGGUGUAGCGGUGAAAUGCUUAGAUAUCGUCAAGAACACCGAUAGUGUAGACAGCUUACUAGGCUUCAACUGACGCUGAGGCACGAAAGUGUGGGGAUCAAACAGG